rnacentral:misc_RNA from 1 species
GAAAUGCGAUAAGUAGUGUGAAUUGCAGAAUUCAGUGAAUCAUCGAAUCUUUGAACGCACAUUGCGCCUCCUGGUAUUCCGGGAGGCAUGCCUGUUCGAGCGUCAUCAAAAACCUCAGUCCGAGACUUUGUCGAGGAUUGGUCGUGCCUCGGAUGCGAUUGGGCAUCCCCGGCGAAAUCCAAUGGCGAAGAGCCCCUGGGCCAAAGCGUAGUAUUAACACCUCGUUGUGGUCCGGCGCGCGCUUCCGCCGUAACCCCCCCAUCUCCAAGUUUUUGACCUCGGAUCAGGUAGGGAUACCCGCUGAACUUAA